ensembl:snRNA U6 U6 spliceosomal RNA
AUUCUCCCUUUGGCAGUACAUAUACCAAAAUUGGAACACAUAGAGAAGAUUAGCAUGGCCUGAGCACAGGCAUGGCAUGAAAAUUGGUGAAGUAUUACCUAUUAAA